GUGGGGAAUCUUGCGCAAUGGGCGAAAGCCUGACGCAGCCAUGCCGCGUGAAUGAUGAAGGUCUUAGGAUUGUAAAAUUCUUUCACCGGGGACGAUAAUGACGGUACCCGGAGAAGAAGCUCCGGCUAACUUCGUGCCAGCAGCCGCGGUAAUACGAAGGGGGCUAGCGUUGCUCGGAAUUACUGGGCGUAAAGGGCGCGUAGGCGGACAGCUUAGUCAGAGGUGAAAGCCCAGGGCUCAACCUUGGAAUUGCCUUUGAUACUGGCUGUCUUGAGUUUGGGAGAGGUGAGUGGAAUUCCGAGUGUAGAGGUGAAAUUCGUAGAUAUUCGGAGGAACACCAGUGGCGAAGGCGGCUCACUGGCUCGAUACUGACGCUGAGGUGCGAAAGCGUGGGGAGCAAACAGGAUUAGAUACCCUAGUAGUCC
rnacentral:rRNA from 1 species